AAGUAGAGGAAUCCUCACAAUAACUCAACGAGUCUUGAUUGGAAUUGACUGGAUGAAAGGAUGGGUGAAAUUUUAAAGGGUUUCGUAUUUCAUGAAAUGUUUCUUUGCAAAACGUUUUUUUACACUCUUCAUACAUACUUCACAGUAAAUACAAAGAAGCAUCAUCCAGUAAAGGUAUUCCUCUUUUGACGCAAGCAAUGUUGAAGUUGUGACCUAAAUCAUGUCAAUGACAGACAACACAAGGUUUUUAAAAGAUAUGUUUAGUACAAAAGAAAACAGAAUAAAAGGGAGUUGGCGACACAAAGACAUAACGUUUAGUACACUAAAAACCUUGAAUUACCUGAUGGCAUAAAUGGUCUAAUUGUUUGUGGAACAAAGAUGUUCCAGGGGUAAAUGCUGAAGAGAGAACGAUGUAUCCGUGAUACCAAGAGAUUCCAUUAAACAAGAUUUUUGAAGGCAAUUUACUAAAAUGUUCGCAAGAGAUAUGGGGGAUGUUUUAAAAG